rnacentral:rRNA from 1 species
UACGAAGGGGGCUAGCGUUGUUCGGAUUUACUGGGCGUAAAGCGCACGUAGGCGGGUUGUUAAGUCAGGGGUGAAAUCCUGGAGCUCAACUCCAGAACUGCCUUUGAUACUGGCAACCCUAGAGGCUGGAAGAGGUUAGUGGAAUUCCCAGUGUAGAGGUGAAAUUCGUAGAUAUUGGGAAGAACACCCAGUGGCGAAGGCGGCUAACUGGUCCAGAUCUGACGCUGAGGUGCGAAAGCGUGGGGAGCAAACAGG